AUCCCAUGAUGAGGACAUGCGACCACUUACUCCUGCAGUCUCUCCCAUGCUGCAGGAAUUGACUCGUCCCUCGUCGGCUAGAAGCUUGAAAUUUUUCCGCGAAGGGU
rfam:Oryza nivara chromosome 4, whole genome shotgun sequence.